CAUAUAUGGUAACGAACAGGUGACGACAUCCCUGCCGGCAGGCAGAGGAUUCGGAUGAAAAGGGAAGCCGGUGAAAUUCCGGCACGGUCCCGCCACUGUAAGCGAGGAGCUUCACCGAUACGACAAGCCACUGUUGAGCAUUCGAUGGGAAGGCAGCGGAGUGAAGCGAUGAGACGCAAGUCAGGAGACCUGCCUGUUCGGCUGCGGCUGU
rnacentral:ncRNA from 2 species